GAUGAACGCUGGCGGCGUGCCUAAUACAUGCAAGUCGAGCGAACAGACGAGGAGCUUGCUCCUCUGACGUUAGCGGCGGACGGGUGAGUAACACGUGGAUAACCUACCUAUAAGACUGGGAUAACUUCGGGAAACCGGAGCUAAUACCGGAGAAUAUAUUGAACCGCAUGGUUCAAUAGUGAAAGACGGCUUUGCUGUCACUUAUAGAUGGAUCCGCGCUGCAUUAGCUAGUUGGUAAGGUAACGGCUUACCAAGGCAACGAUGCGUAGCCGACCUGAGAGGGUGAUCGGCCACACUGGAGCUGAGACACGGUCCAGACUCCUACGGGAGGCAGCAGUAGGGAAUCUUCCGCAAUGGGCGAAAGCCUGACGGAACGACGCCGCGUGAGUGAUGAAGGUCUUCGGAUCGUAAAACUCUGUUAUUAGGGAAGAACAAAUGUGUAAGUAACUAUGCACGUUUUGACGGUACCUAAUCAGAAAGCCACGGCUAACUACGUG
rnacentral:rRNA from 1 species